UUUGAAUGGGAAAAACUGACCUAAAUUUGAUCCAUCUUUGUAAGUUCUACAGAUAAACACAUAUUGGUAGCGUUUAUUGGCGGGGUGCAAAAACAUCCUAAUGUAGGAAAUUUUAGUUUACAACCAUUGCAUGUGUAACGAUUUUGUUAUAGCCAUUGAUUUUGAUAGGUUUCAUGUGAAUCUCAUCAUAGUUGUAUGUACAACGGUUACAUAGAAUAAUUUCUCCUAAUAUAAGCAAAAA
rnacentral:misc_RNA from 1 species